rnacentral:rRNA from 1 species
CUACGGGUUGCUCCAGGCGCGAAACCUUUACAAUGCACGCAAGUGUGAUAAGGGAAUCCUGAGUGCUCAUGUUAAACAUGGGCUUUUGCUAGGAGUAAGAACCUUGGCGAAUAAGUGGUGGGCAAGACUGGUGCCAGCCGCCGCGGUAACACCAGCGCCACAAGUGGCAAUCGCGAUUAUUGGGCCUAAAGCGUCCGUAGCCGGUUCGGUAAAUCCUUUGUGAAAUCGCCAAGCUUAACUUGGCGGCGUGCAGGGGACACUGCCGAACUCGAGACCGGGAGGAGUUAGAAGUAUUUUUGGGGGAGCGGUAAAAUGCUAUAAUCCCAGAAAGACUACCGAUGGCGAAGGCAUCUAACUAGAACGGAUCUGACGGUGAGGGACGAAAGCCAGGGGAGCGAACCGGAUUAGAUACCCGGGUAGUC